rnacentral:lncRNA from 1 species
AUGGUAGAAUAUCAACUGAAAUUCUCGUGCAGAUAUGUGAUCCCAGAAGUGCCAUUCUGCCUUCCCCCUGCUGCCGCCCUCUUGAAGCUGUGCUAUGGGGGCCCAGUCUCGGCUGAGUCCGCGCAGACCUUUCCUGGAAGGGAUGGUUGUAUAGCUGUUUCCAGAAUAGAAGGUAGUAUUUCUUCAAAUGCUUUUCAAAAUGGGGUGUGUGUGUGUGUGUGUGUGUGUGUAUGUGUGUCUCCCUCACAGAAGCAGAGACAGAGGAGCGAAAAGGAGCCAGAUCAUAGAGGCCUUCACCACCAAAGCUUUGAUUUUUUUCUAAAUGACAUGAUUGAAUUUCACAAAGAUUUCCUUGGCUGCUGUAUGAAUUGGUUUGCCGGGUCUAAGAGCAGAAAGAGUUAGGAGGCCACGACAGUGGUCCAGGCUCCAGUUGAUUAGUUCCAGUGUGGGAUAGUGGUCAGGGGACAAAGAGGUCAACACUGGCCCUUACUCAGGGAGGGGAGAAGGGACCAGAGUACUUGGUGAAGGGAACCAGGAGAAUAAGACUUGCUCUGGAGCCAGAUCGAGGGUCAGAUAUCUGGGGAAACAAUGACAAGAACUCUCCCAGAAAACCCAUAGCUUGGGCUCAUAGAACAGGCUUGG